rnacentral:lncRNA from 1 species
GAACAUACCCAAGAGAUUCCAAAUUGUCAUUUGCUCGGCAUAAGAAAUCUCAUCUUAGAAGUUGAAAAUCUUAUAUAAGCGUAUCAUAUCAAGUGCACACAAAACUCAUCAAUUUCAAUAUUCCAGAUCGUCUCUUCUGCUUUACUAUGCUUAUAUUAAGAUCGUCUCUUCUACAUUACUUGCAGGUAAACAUAUCACUUAUAUUAAACCCCAUAAAUGUUUUAAUUCCUGCUCAGCAUCUCUCUGGAAAAAUAGUAUUAAGAAUACCAAAAACUCUAAAAACUUGAAUUAAUUAUUUUACUUUAAAA